rnacentral:rRNA from 1 species
CCUGGUUGAUCCUGCCAGUAGUCAUAUGCUUGUCUCAAAGAUUAAGCCAUGCAUUUGUAAGUAUGAACUAAUUCAGACUGUGAAACUGCGAAUGGCUCAUUAAAUCAGUUAUAGUUUGUUUGAUGGUAUUUGCUACUCGGAUAACCAUAGUAAUUCUAGAGCUAAUACGUGCACCAAACCCCAACUUCUAGAAGGGAUACAUUCAUUAGAUAAAAGGUCGACGUGGGCUCUGCCCGUUGCUCUGAUGAUUCAUGAUAACUCGACGGAUCGCAAGGCCACCGUGCCGGCGACGCAUCAUUCAAAUUUCUGCCCUAUCAACUUUCGAUGGUAGGAUCGCCUACCAUGGUGGUGACGGGUGACGGAGAAUUAGGGUUCGAUUCCGGAGAGGGAGCCUGAGAAACGGCUACCACAUCCAAGGAAGGCAGCAGGGGAGGUAAUGACAAUAAAUAACAAUACCGGGCUCUAUGAGUCUGGUAAUUGGAAUGAGUACAAUCUAAAUCCCUUAACGAGGAUCCAUUGGAGGGCGAGUCUGGUGCCAGCAACCGCGGUAAUUCCAACUCCAAUAGCGUAUAUUUAAGUUGUUGCAGUUAAAAAGCUCGUAGUUGGACCUUGGGUUGGGUCGGCCGGUCUGCCUCGCGGUGUGCACCGGCCGGCUUGUCACUUCUGUCGACGAUGCGCUCCUGACCUUAACUGGCCGGGUCGUGCCACCGGCGCUAUUACUUUGAAGAAAUUAGAGUGCUCAAAGCAAGCCUAUGCUCUGUAUACUUUAGCUUGCGUUGACUACGUCCUUGCCCUUUGUACACACCGCCCGUCGCUCCUACAAAUUGAAUGGUCCGGUAAAGUCUUUGGAUCGCGGUGACGUAGGCUGUUCGCUGCUUGUGACAUCGUGAGAAGUCCACUGAACCUUAUGAUUUAGAGGAAGGAGAAGUCGUAACAAGGUUUCCGUAGGUGAACCUGCGGAAGGAUCAUUG